rnacentral:tRNA from 1 species
GGAGGGUAUCUGACCCUGGUGGGCAGCACGGGCUUCAAACCCGAUGUCUGGGCGGUUGACCGUUUGGAGGCAGGUUCGAUUCCUGCACCUUCUCGCCA